CCUACGGGCGGCUGCAGUGAGGAAUAUUGGUCAAUGGGCGCGAGCCUGAACCAGCCAAGUCGCGUGAAGGAUGACUGCCCUACGGGUUGUAAACUUCUUUUAUAAAGGAAUAAAGUGAGGCACGGGUGCCUUUUUGAAUGUACUUUAUGAAUAAGGAUCGGCUAACUCCGUGCCAGCAGCCGCGGUAAUACGGAGGAUUCGAGCGUUAUCCGGAUUUAUUGGGUUUAAAGGGAGCGUAGAUGGGUUGUUAAGUCAGUUGUGAAAGUUUGCGGCUCAACCGUAAAAGUGCAAAUGAUACUGGCAGUCUUGAGUGCAGUUGAGGUAGGCGGAAUUCGUGGUGUAGCGGUGAAAUACUUAGAGAUCACGAAGAACUCCGAUUGCGAAGGCAGCUUACUAAGCUGCCACUGACAUUGAUGCUCGAAAGUGUGGGUAUCAAACAGGAUUAGAUACCCCUGUAGUC
rnacentral:rRNA from 1 species